GUGGAUUAGUGGCGAACGGGUGAGUAACACGUGGGCAAUCUGCCCUUCACUCUGGGACAAGCCCUGGAAACGGGGUCUAAUACCGGAUACGACUGCGGGAGGCAUCUCCUGUGGUGGAAAGCUCCGGCGGUGAAGGAUGAGCCCGCGGCCUAUCAGCUUGUUGGUGAGGUAACGGCUCACCAAGGCGACGACGGGUAGCCGGCCUGAGAGGGCGACCGGCCACACUGGGACUGAGACACGGCCCAGACUCCUACGGGAGGCAGCAGUGGGGAAUAUUGCACAAUGGGCGAAAGCCUGAUGCAGCGACGCCGCGUGAGGGAUGACGGCCUUCGGGUUGUAAACCUCUUUCAGCAGGGAAGAAGCGAAAGUGACGGUACCUGCAGAAGAAGCGCCGGCUAACUACGUGCCAGCAGCCGCGGUAAUACGUAGGGCGC
rnacentral:rRNA from 1 species